UGGGGAAUAUUGGACAAUGGGGGCAACCCUGAUCCAGCCAUGCCGCGUGUGUGAAGAAGGCCUUUUGGUUGUAAAGCACUUUAAGCAGGGAGGAGAGGCUAAUGGUUAAUACCCAUUAGAUUAGACGUUACCUGCAGAAUAAGCACCGGCUAACUCUGUGCCAGCAGCCGCGGUAAUACAGAGGGUGCGAGCGUUAAUCGGAAUUACUGGGCGUAAAGCGAGUGUAGGUGGCUCACUAAGUCACAUGUGAAAUCCCCGGGCUUAACCUGGGAACUGCAUGUGAUACUGGUGGUGCUAGAAUAUGUGAGAGGGAAGUAGAAUUCCCAGGUGUAGCGGUGAAAUGCGUAGAGAUCUGGAGGAAUACCGAUGGCGAAGGCAGCUUCCUGGCAUAAUAUUGACACUGAGAUUCGAAAGCGUGGGUAGCAAAACAGGAUUAGAUACCCUGGUAGUCCACGCCGUAAAACGAUGUCUACUAGCCGUUGGGGUCCUUGAGACUUUAGUGGCGCAGUUAACGCGAUAAGUAGACCGCCUGGGGAGUACGGCC
rnacentral:rRNA from 1 species